GUAUUCAAUUUAUUUUUGGUUUUCCAAAAAAUAAUAAUAAUGUUUUCAGGCUUGCUUCGAGAAGAAGCAAGAAUAGUUUGUCAAGAUGAAAGAAGAAAAAACUCUGGCAGUGCCGGAGGGAAGAGAGGCGAGAAGGAAGGAAAAAAGCAGAGACGAAAAGUGUUUCUUCUCUCUCUCUCCCUCCGCUCCCCACUUUCUCUUUCCCUCCACGGAGAAACGGUAAAGGAUCUCCCUGCAAACUGCCAAAGCAAACAUGUCGAUGAUGUGCACACAAAGGUGGAUAUGGAUUUAAACCAUCCAUAUGCAAAGGAAAAUGGAUAAUUGUUAAUGAUCCUUCCGCAGGUUCACCUACGGAAA
rnacentral:misc_RNA from 1 species